rnacentral:rRNA from 1 species
CCUACGGGCGGCAGCAGUGAGGAAUAUUGGUCAAUGGACGAGAGUCUGAUCCAGCCAAGUAGCGUGAAGGAUGACUGCUCUAUGGGUUGUAUACUUCUUUUAUAUGGGAAUAAAAUGUUCCACGUGUGGGAGUUUGUAUGUACCAUAUGAAUAAGGAUCGGCUAACUCCGUGCCAGCAGCCGCGGUAAUACGGAGGAUCCGAGCGUUAUCCGGAUUUAUUGGGUUUAAAGGGAGCGUAGGUGGAUGGUUAAGUCAGUUGUGAAAGUUUGCGGCUCAACCGUAAAAUUGCAGUUGAUACUGGCAGUCUUGAGUACAGUUGAGGUAGGCGGAAUUCGUGGUGUAGCGGUGAAAUGCUUAGAUAUCACGAAGAACUCCGAUUGCGAAGGCAGCUUACUAAACUGCGACUGACGUUGAGGCCCGAAAGCGUGGGGAGCAAACAGGAUUAGAUACCCCGGUAGUC